rnacentral:lncRNA from 1 species
CCGUAUAUAAGCGGAACACCAAUGUAAAAGCUAAAAGACGGACACCACCUAGUACACACUCCACAGUCACCAGACCACCUAGAGCACACACCACAAUCACCAGACCACCAAAGAGGAUCAUCAACCGACCCAAAAAGAUGCCCUAAGACUCUAACUCCCGAUCUCGAAUCAAAAGUGAUCGGCUCAUCAGAAUACAAAAAGCAGCUUUGUGAGGCAAAAAUUAAUG